rnacentral:rRNA from 1 species
UACGUAGGGUGCGAGCGUUAAUCGGAAUUACUGGGCGUAAAGCGUGCGCAGGCGGCUUUGCAAGACAGAUGUGAAAUCCCCGGGCUCAACCUGGGAACUGCAUUUGUGACUGCAAAGCUGGAGUGCGGCAGAGGGGGAUGGAAUUCCGCGUGUAGCAGUGAAAUGCGUAGAUAUGCGGAGGAACACCGAUGGCGAAGGCAAUCCCCUGGGCCUGCACUGACGC